AUGCAAGUCGAACGCUUCUUUCCUCCCGAGUGCUUGCACUCAAUUGGAAAGAGGAGUGGCGGACGGGUGAGUAACACGUGGGUAACCUACCCAUCAGAGGGGGAUAACACUUGGAAACAGGUGCUAAUACCGCAUAACAGUUUAUGCCGCAUGGCAUAAGAGUGAAAGGCGCUUUCGGGUGUCGCUGAUGGAUGGACCCGCGGUGCAUUAGCUAGUUGGUGAGGUAACGGCUCACCAAGGCCACGAUGCAUAGCCGACCUGAGAGGGUGAUCGGCCACACUGGGACUGAGACACGGCCCAGACUCCUACGGGAGGCAGCAGUAGGGAAUCUUCGGCAAUGGACGAAAGUCUGACCGAGCAACGCCGCGUGAGUGAAGAAGGUUUUCGGAUCGUAAAACUCUGUUGUUAGAGAAGAACAAGGACGUUAGUAACUGAACGUCCCCUGACGGUAUCUAACCAGAAAGCCACGGCUAACUACGUGCCAGCAGCCGCGGUAAUACGUAGGUGGCAAGCGUUGUCCGGAUUUAUUGGGCGUAAAGCGAGCGCAGGCGGUUUCUUAAGUCUGAUGUGAAAGCCCCCGGCUCAACCGGGGAGGGUCAUUGGAAACUGGGAGACUUGAGUGCAGAAGAGGAGAGUGGAAUUCCAUGUGUAGCGGUGAAAUGCGUAGAUAUAUGGAGGAACACCAGUGGCGAAGGCGGCUCUCUGGUCUGUAACUGACGCU
rnacentral:rRNA from 1 species